GCGCGGGAAGCAGGCAGAUCCUCUUCGGAGGUGACGCCUGUGGAACGAGCGGCGGACGGGUGAGUAACACGUGGGCAACCUGCCUGUAAGAUUGGGAUAACCCCGGGAAACCGGGGCUAAUACCGGAUAAUACUUUUCGUUGCAUAACGAGAAGUUGAAAGGCGGCUUUUAGCUGUCACUUACAGAUGGGCCCGCGGCGCAUUAGCUAGUUGGUAAGGUAACGGCUUACCAAGGCGACGAUGCGUAGCCGACCUGAGAGGGUGAUCGGCCACACUGGGACUGAGACACGGCCCAGACUCCUACGGGAGGCAGCAGUAGGGAAUCUUCCCAAUGGGACGAAAGUCUGACGGAGCAACGCCGCGUGAGUGAUGAAGGUUUUCGGAUCGUAAAACUCUGUUGUCAGGGAAGAACAAGUGCCGUUCAAAUAGGGCGGCACCUUGACGGUACCUGACCAGAAAGCCCCGGCUAACUACGUGCCAGCAGCCGCGGUAAUACGUAGGGGGCAAGCGUUGUCCGGAAUUAUUGGGCGUAAAGCGCGCGCAGGCGGUCCUUUAAGUCUGAUGUGAAAGCCCACGGCUUAACCGUGGAGGGCCAUUGGAAACUGGAGGACUUGAGUACAGAAGAGGAGAGUGGAAUUCCACGUGUAGCGGUGAAAUGCGUAGAGAUGUGGAGGAACACCAGUGGCGAAGGCGACUCUCUGGUCUGUAACUGACGCUNAGGUGCGAAAGCGUGGGGAGCGAACAGGAUUAGAUACCCUGGUAGUCCACGCCGUAAACGAUGAGUGCUAGGUGUUAAGGGGGUUUCCGCCCCUUAGUGCUGAAGUUAACGCAUUAAGCACUCCGCCCGGGGGAGUACGGCCGCAAGGCUGAAACUCAAAAGAAUUGACGGGGGCCCGCACAAGCGGUGGAGCAUGUGGUUUAAUUCGAAGCAACGCGAAGAACCUUACCAGGUCUUGACAUCCUCUGCCAAUCCUA
rnacentral:rRNA from 1 species